GGGGAAUUUUGGACAAGGGGCGCAAGCCUGAUCCAGCAAUGCCGCGUGCAGGAUGAGGGCCUUCGGGUUGUAAACUGCUUUUGCACGGAACGAAAAGCCUCUCUCUAAUACAGGGGGGUGAUGCCGGUACCGUAAGAAUAAGCACCGGCUAACUAAGUACCAGAAGCCGCGGUAAUACGUAGGGUGCAAGCGUUAAUCGGAAUUACUGGGCGUAAAGCGUGCGCAGGCGGUUUUGUAAGACAGUGGUGAAAUCCCCGGGCUCAACCUGGGAACUGCUAUUGUGACUGCAAGGCUGGAGUGCGGCAGAGGGGGAUGGAAUUCCGCGUGUAGCAGUGAAAUGCGUAGAUAUGCGGAGGAACACCGAUGGCGAAGGCAAUCUCCUGGGCCUGCACUGACGCUCAUGCACGAAAGCGUGGGGAGCAAACA
rnacentral:rRNA from 1 species